ACAUCAAUAAAACAAUUAAGGCAUAUGAGACCAGAGAGGGGGAUGGAACAUGGCGGUUUUACUUUAUUAUAAGUUUACUUGACUUACUUUGACCUCGACCUUAGGCAGCUCAGGUUCAUCAACGAUUGGGAAAUCAUCAUCACCAUCACCAUUGGUGCUCUUCCCAAGAUGACCCCAAACUUCAUCCUUAUUGAACUUUUCAUUCAUCGCCGUGAAGUCAAAAUCUUCAGUGAACUUCAUUACCUGGUGUGAUCGCUGCCAACAAGGAGGAUUAUUAGCAUACUUGGCUAUGAUUCAUGAGCUUACUUUAACUAGUAGAUGUUAGCAAAAACCAUUAAAUGCCUCGACACAUUCUAAAAAUGAGAGAGAAGAAUAUUACCCCUGCUCCUCUUCCCCUUCCUCUCCCACGUCCCCUGUAACCAUUAUAGGUUGGGAAGGAAUGCCCGUUUGGCUGAGAAAAAAAAAUCAGCAAACGAGAUCAACUAAUCAUCAAACAAUGAAGACUUGUAUGUAGACAUUCAAGAAGAAAUCUAAUACAGACCAAGGAAGGAACCAAGAGAGAUUUUCAUGCCUCUUUUACAAAGAAAAAAGAGGCUUAGGAUGGGUAUUACCACAGGUGCAAAUAUAACAGCUACAGGUUAUUCAAGCAAAUGGAAGAUCAUAUCAAGUUCGUUACUCCUCAAAAAAAAUUCUCUAGAAUUCAAGGGUCGUUCUCAUAUCAGUAAGUGAAGUAGCAAAUAUCGUUUAAAGGGAUGACAAGCAACUAAAUAGAUUUGGAAAUUUGUGUAAGUUCAAAACCUUAUGAGUUGGCCUUGCAGAGGAAGGCAAUGGCAGUAUUGGGGGUUGGGCUUCUGAUGUAACUGAAGCAGAUUGUUCCAAAGCAGCUGAUGAUGAUACUUGAACCACCUCAUCAUCUUUACCAGCGUUGUUAGAGGGUGGGGACAAAGAGACUGACGCAGAUCCAGACUGCAACAGUUGGCCAGGAGUAACCAACAAAGGUUUUGGCUUAUCUUGGCUGAUGGAACUAGAAACUUUAGAAUCAGGAGCAGAUGCUAAUGGUGUUGCCUGUGGCACAGAUAUAGGAUCAGUAACUAGUGGCAAGCCAGCACUUGUAUCAGUGGCUCUAGUAGUUGGUAGAGAAAAGGGAAGCAAAUUAGUAUCCUGAGAUAGGGUAGGAGGUGCAGCAAUAGGAGCCUUGUUCGAAAACAAAGGAGGUGCCAUCUCUGAAGCUAGGGAAGGAGAUGGUGCUGACUGCAACGUUGAUUGGAGGCCUGAAGACAGCGUCAUAGGUAAACCAGUAAAAGGCAAAGAACUGGGUGCUAGAGCUUGAGAACUGCUACUAUAAGGAAACAGUGACGAAGGUGGUUCCGGCAAGCUUGAGCCCUGCAAAUUUGAUGAGCCAGCAGGUGGAGGGGCAUUAAAGUUAGGAUACGGAAUGGGUUGCGGCAGGGAACCGGGCAUAGGCAGCCCAUGAGGAGGCCGAAUCAAAGACUGUUGAUGCAACUGGGGAAGGCCAUUGGGAGGUGGGGUGUAGUAUCCUUGCCAAUACAUUGGUGGUUGAGGUGAGGCUCCCCAAGGAGCAAGAUUUCCACCAGGCUGAUACAAAGGCAUUGAGUUUUGGAAUCCCAUCCCAUGCUGCCCAGGUUGUCCAUUAUGAGAACUAAUGUCAGGCAUUGAACUGCUCACGGCGGGAGGCAAGCCACUAGAUGUUGGGAUCGGGCUAGGAUAAUGAGACUGCAAAACAGAGACAAUCGGGGCAUGAAGACACAUCUCUACAAGAUUACUCUACAACAUCUCCAUUAUAUUCACCUGAAUUAUAGCAGGAUCAUUGUUUAAGGUAGGUGGAGCUGGAGGCUGAACUGGUGGAGAGGCUUUGACUUGCAAAUCCUGCCAAUAACAAGAAGAGUCAGUGCACAAACAGAGAUAGUUACAUCAAAGCAUACGCACAAUCCUGUUUGGAUACCUUGAUAUCGGUUCCACGGAACAAUAUGUACUCAUAAACUUUCUCACUUGGAGGAACUUGAGGACCAUCUUUUUUCCUUCCUUCAGUUCCAAAUGAUCGGACUACAUACGUUGAAAAUCACACAGAUCAGUACAUACUAAGCUUAUUCAAAGAUUCACCAACAGUUUCAAGACUUUGAUUACAAUCUGAUGAGCUUAGAUAGUAGACAUGAGCACAACUUAUUAAUGAAGAUCCAAUCACAAGAGCACACAGGGAUAGAUAGAGCAUAAGAGUUAUACACUACACAUCUAACAAUCCUGAGACGGAAUCGUACCGUUUUGAAGUCCGAUACUGGAUUCAUCGGUGUUGAUGUUGUAAAGGAUGCCUUCGUAUCUGAUCUCGCUCUUGGAAGUCAAACUAAUCAAGCUCCCUACGUAAGAAUCUGCCGAGGAGGAGCUCGAUUUCGCGCCCGUGUUAUCAGUCGCCAUACCGGAUCUAUAUCUCUCUCUUUCGCCAAAUCCACAAACAAAGAGAGAGAGAAAUAAACCAGAGUCGAGAAAGGGCAAAGCAAAGAUCCCCUUCGAGAGAGAAAGCUACAGACAAUUAGGGUUUACUCUGAUUUGGGGGAGAUGAGAUCGAGAGAGAGCAUCUCUUUCUGAUUAUCCGUAAAAAAACCCCCAAGAAAAUAUGUAUAUUACCAUAAUAGCCUCGUCUAGUAACACUAGCUUUCAUCUUCUAACUAAUUGUAGACCGCCACGUGUCUAAGUACGGAGGGCCUCGCCGUCAUUCACCAAUGAUGUUCUCACAGCCAGUGGGCUACGAGCCACUCCAAUUGCACGGCUCGUGUUCGUAUUGAUUAGCCUGUAGGCUGUAUUUACAAGUGUAACCCUGUUCCUGUGAAUAAUUUACGCUCGGAGCCUGUGUUGAUUGGUUCCGUAAAACGACUGCGUUUAAGCUUAGCGACAACCACGAAGACGCACAACAAAGCCACUGAUUAGCCUUUUUCUUAUGAAGCAUUGUGCUUUAACAUUUUUUUUUAAUAUUCAUGCUGCUUUGAUACAUAACCUAUUGUUUUCUUGUAUUGACUUUUCUUGUAAAGAGCUUAUCUUCCUGUUCAAUACUGGCAACUCAGGAGAAGACCAAUACAGUUUAAUGAGGCUAACUAAAUAAAGACUUUUUUUAUUCACUGAUCUUUGUUGUUCUACAAUUACACAAACCGAGAAUGACAAAAGAAUCAACGUGUAUUGCAAACUGGAAUACAGUUCAUCAUCAUGUUCAGAGUUCAAAACCACUCCGUAUCUUCCAAGUAUAAUGGUUCUUCUGUCUCCUUGUUAAGUACUAUACACAGAAGGAGUUUACUUCACUCUGCUCUACUGGGAGAUAGAGAGAGUGAAAGUUAGAACGGACUGACCCAGUGAGCCAACUUCAACAUGAAUUCAGGCACAAGACGCCUUCUGUCUACGCUUUUACCAACCACUUCUGAGUCGCCUCCCAGGACCACUGAUACUAUAUCUUCAAACAUCUCAUCUACUCCACCUCUCAUUGGAUCCUAACAUAUAUAAACCAAGUUUCUAGAUCAAAUAUUCAGGUUCUUUUACGAAUAGACAUUCAAGACCUGCCAUUUUGUACCUGAAGAAACAGAUCCGUGUGUGUUUUCCCCUCGUAAAGGAUCACUUCUGCUUUACCUCCAAGUCUCUGGAGGGUUUCCGCAAAAGAUUUACUACAAAAAAAAAAAACAACGCACGAGAAGUUCAAUCACCAUAUCAACCACCUGAACUACAUGAGACAAGACAUGCACACACAAGGCUAUUGAAGUUUAGCCAUACCUUGCAUCUGAAGGGAUGGAGUAGUCAGCAGUACCAUGGAAUAGAAUAAUAGGUGGGAGACGAGCAAUAAUGUGUUUAAGAUUUGGAUUUUGCACUACUAGUUCAGGAGAAAACUGACUUAAUGAUUCCUCUCCUUCCAUGAUGCUGCGGAAAACAAAAGUCACACGUUAAACCUUAGGUUGCUCUACAGGUCAGGUGAGCAUCUUAAGCUAUUCCAAGAUUUGAUAUUAUACCUCAGGAAAAUGGAACGAUAGAGUCCCCUGCUAUGGAAGUGAUCUACAAGGCUCAGAAGGUUGUACCUGUAAAUCAUGAUCACAGAAAUUUCAAAGGAAAGUAAAACAGAUAAUUGUUAAGUGUAAAACAUUUUCUAUAACUUCUUAGUCUUUAGUUGGAUAUAAGACAUGAAUCUACUUGCUUCAUUAAGCUGCUCUUUGAAAUAACGCUAUGCGAUUAUCUACAACCAUUUCACGAAAAUUACUCGAAAAUAAACUUGUUUAUAACAGCUUAUUGAGACGUCUCAAUUCCAUUAUUCCAAUGUCAUUAUGAGAACUCACCAAAUGUCUGGAAUCAUACCAAAUACCGUUUGUCAAAUGUCAAUGAGUUUCUCUUCAGAUUCUGGAACUAAUUAUGUCCAGCCUGCUUUUUGACCGAAGAAAUAUACUAUAGAUUGUACCUCAGUAUCUAGUUUACGUAGCUCUGAGAACCUAGGCCUUGCAUUUUGGGAAUCUCGGUCCCCGGAGUUUGAUGAUAGGCUAUCGAAAAAGUCGUCUUUGUUGUAAACAGGCUACAUCAAUAAAACAAUUAAGGCAUAUGAGACCAGAGAGGGGGAUGGAACAUGGCGGUUUUACUUUAUUAUAAGUUUACUUGACUUACUUUGACCUCGACCUUAGGCAGCUCAGGUUCAUCAACGAUUGGGAAAUCAUCAUCACCAUCACCAUUGGUGCUCUUCCCAAGAUGACCCCAAACUUCAUCCUUAUUGAACUUUUCAUUCAUCGCCGUGAAGUCAAAAUCUUCAGUGAACUUCAUUACCUGGUGUGAUCGCUGCCAACAAGGAGGAUUAUUAGCAUACUUGGCUAUGAUUCAUGAGCUUACUUUAACUAGUAGAUGUUAGCAAAAACCAUUAAAUGCCUCGACACAUUCUAAAAAUGAGAGAGAAGAAUAUUACCC
rnacentral:lncRNA from 1 species